rnacentral:rRNA from 1 species
CAGCAGUAGCCGCGGGAAUACGUAGGUGGCAAGCGUUGUCCGGAAUUAUUGGGCGUAAAGGGCUCGCAGGCGGUUUCUUAAGUCUGAUGUGAAAGCCCCCGGCUCAACCGGGGAGGGUCAUUGGAAACUGGGAAACUUGAGCGCAGAAGAGGAGAGUGGAAUUCCACGUGUAGCGGUGAAAUGCGUAGAGAUGUGGGGGAACACCAGUGGCGAAGGCGACUCUCUGGUCUGUAACUGACGCUGAGGAGCGAAAGCGUGGGGAGCGAACAGGAUUAGAUACCCCAGUAGUCCCUGUCUCUUAUAC